rnacentral:siRNA from 1 species
UGGUCUUUGGACUAGGACUUG